GACGAACGCUGGCGGCGUGCUUAACACAUGCAAGUCGAACGGAAAGGCCCUGCUUUUGUGGGGUGCUCGAGUGGCGAACGGGUGAGUAACACGUGAGUAACCUGCCCUUGACUUUGGGAUAACUUCAGGAAACUGGGGCUAAUACCUGAUAGGAGCUCCUGCUGCAUGGUGGGGGUUGGAAAGUUUCGGCGGUUGGGGAUGGACUCGCGGCUUAUCAGCUUGUUGGUGGGGUAGUGGCUUACCAAGGCUUUGACGGGUAGCCGGCCUGAGAGGGUGACCGGCCACAUUGGGAAUGAGAUACGGCCCAGACUCCUACGGGAGGCAGCAGUGGGGAAUAUUGCACAAUGGGCGGAAGCCUGAUGCAGCAACGCCGCGUGCGGGAUGACGGCCUUCGGGUUGUAAACCGCUUUCGCCUGUGACGAAGCGUGAGUGACGGUAAUGGGUAAAGAAGCACCGGCUAACUACGUG
rnacentral:rRNA from 1 species